GUUCUCAUCACACCUUCAUGGGGUGAGGAAAACAACUCUGGCUCGAAGUCACCCCAUCUUUGCAAGAAAUGCUUUUAAACCUACUGGGUGGAUGACUGCUCAAGCCAAGCACGUUACAGAGAGCCUGUAGGGAGCGGAGAGACAGAUUGAUCAGCAAACAAAUCCGAAUCAGGAGUCAGAAAGCUUAUGGAAAAAGGGUGGAAGAAUUGAUUAACAGGAGCUGUGUGUGGUCUAAUGUUUGUCUUCCUGGAAGAUGCUUCA